rnacentral:lncRNA from 1 species
CUCUCUCCCUUUGCCCUUUCAUCUCUUUCUAGUACUUUCCAUUGGCCAAACCCAAAGGGUCAGGAAGUCCAGGUGAUGUGGUCUAUAUAGAUCAGACUCCUGAGACACAAAACAGGAUGAAGAAGGCUGGAGAGUGGACCUGGAGGGGCAGAUGGAGACUAUCGAGCACACAUUGGUAGAGAUAACAUUUGUUACACAUUUGUGUGCCAAUUUGUGGAUAGCAAAUAUGCAGAUUUGUUUUGUUCUUAGGGAUAUGCUUUUUUUCUCCAUGUAAAAUCGUCUCUAUAAUUUCAUCAUAGGGACUGGAAACUCUUAAAGAGCAAGGGUGACAUCUUUAGAAUUAUCUUCUUGUGUCCUACUCAUGGUUCAGCUAGUACAUAUUCUAUCUCUGGAAAGGGCUGCAAGGAGAAUAUUUUGGGAGAUCAUAAUUGUCUGCCUGGUUGUCAACUUUAAAUUUAGCAGUAUAUCUGUCGGAUACUCUAUUUUCUCUUAUUAAGUAAUUAUGGAUCUACCAUUCUAUAUUCUAUGAAUUUAUUUAUACUUUCCAAGAAGCUAUUUAUAUUUGUAACCAAUAUAGUCAUCAUGCUGACUAUUCUAAACAUAUCUCAUUAAAGAAACCACAUUGCUAUACCUCGUGAGAAACUGCAUUCAGCUGUAUUGCAUUGUUUUGGUUUUAUGUUAUGCAGUACUUUCAAAGUAUUUAAAGCAAACUUUUAAGGGUCAUUUGUAAUUAUAAGUCCACAUCAGAAAGAUUGGAUUAAUUUUGAUUUUAGUAUGUUGGCUGUGAAGAUUUGAGCAUGUCCUAAAAUAUAGCAUUAAAAGAAACGUUAUAGAAAUUGUCUAUGGAAUUCCUGGAGACUUAUCUGUAGCGUCUAUAUUAAGACUCCAGCUCUCUCCCCCAGUGAAGAAGUUAUUGGCAUCUAGAGACCCCCUUCACGGCGGAAACUAACAGCUCAAAGAUGAAGUCCGCCAUUACGGCUAUUCAUCAGGCCCCCUGUGCUUGGCAAAGAGGACAGUCACUGCUCUCACACCAAGGGAUAUGGACACUGACUGAGAGGGUGCCAGAGGCAGAACAUGGAAGAAGGAGACAACGGGGACCUGUACAAUGAUGAAGAGACCUGACCGUGAAAUGUGGGGAAAUUUAUUAAAGGAUUGACCAGUAUUUCUCCUGGUCUUUACGAAGCCUUUGCAUUACUAACAACCAACGGAAAAUGAUAUAACAAAGAUAACGAUCUAAGUAGGAGUUCUGUUCUCUAUUCCUACCUUGGAAAGCAGUAGCCUAAUAAAUCUGAGUGGUCAACAUUUAUGGUACCCCUC